rnacentral:rRNA from 1 species
CCCUUAGAUGUCCUGGGCCGCACGCGCGCUACACUGAGUGUCUGAGAUACGAGUCUGCCUGGUCCGGCAAGGUCUAGGUAAUCGCUAAAAGACACAUCAUGCUUGGGAUAGAUUAUUGCAAAUAUUAAUCUUGAACGAGGAAUUCCUAGUAAGCGCAAGUCAACAGCUUGCGUUGAUUACGUCCCUGCCCUUUGUACACACCGCCCGUCGCUACUCCUGAUUGGAUGUUUAAGCGAGGUUCUCGAACUGCUAGCGACUUAGCUUCGGUGAGGUCGCAGUGUGGGAAGUGAACCUAGCUUUGGUGUCUAGAGGAAGUAAAAGUCGUAACA